UUUGCUCUUUUCCAUUCUAUGCCAGUCAGUGGUUUUUAACCUUGAAAAUAACAGUAGCUGUCUUCAGUGGGAAAAUCCAGGGCUAUUUUGACCCCCCAGAAUAAUUUAGGAUGACUGAGGGAACCCAAAGUAAGUGUCAAAUGUAAUUCAAGGUUACUGUGCCUUAAGAAGUGAUCCGCUGAGUUCUAGCAGGGUGUAAGAGCUAUUUGGAUUAACUAUUUUGACUCUUUCCCACAUUCUCUAAGAGGCAUGAUCUCAGACAGCAAAAGAAAUUGUCUCUAGGGGACAGGGAGGUGUCGCCCUUGAGAAAUAACUAUAGUAUUUCUUCAGCCUGGCUUUGGACCUGCAUUUCUCAACACAUUUUCCUGAAACCUUCACCUGGGUGUGACCCUGGAAGAUGACAGGAAGGCCAUCUUAAAGUAUGUGUAACCUUUUUUAAGAAAUUAGUUUUGAAAAAAGUAGACUCUUUUUCUUAAAGCCCUUGCCAAAAAUGUAUAAAUUAUUGAAUGGGAAAAUUUCAGUAAGACACAAUUAUUACCAUGGCUGCUGAGGAUUAAGAAGGACGUAAAUUACAUCUCUCUGUACAGAGAUAUAGUGAGGCCUCUGGUAAAGUGACACCUACCUCUGGAAAUCAGACUCAUUUUCAAGACAUAAAAACCUAGGUCAUAAUAGGAGUGACCCUGUUCAUAUGAAUCCUAAAUCUUCUGAAUGGGGGGAGAAUUUUGAAAUCCUUGUCUUUGACCUCUAGCAACAUAUCCCAAAGACCUUAUGAGUUUCAGGAAAGCUUUAUUUUCUUCUUCCUUCUUAAUUUUCUCUCCCAAUUCUAAGAUACUCUCUGGACAGUCUCUUUUAGAGGUCUUUCAAGGAAAGCAAAACUUGGUUUGUCUGCCUGUUAACUGCUGCAAAGUGUGUCGAUUCCUGCUGUUCAGUGUUAGGACUCAAAAGUCCUAAGGAAACACCUAGUAUUGUCAUUAUCUGGAAAAAAGAAGCCCCUAGAUUGGAUUAAGUGAGGUUACUGUGCCCUUAAGAAAUGCCGGUAUUAGGCAGUAAUGAAGGAAUGGCAGCAGGCAUGAAUGCUCUCUUUCAUCAGACCAGCUUCUCCCCCCCCUUUUUUUUCUGUAGGAGGAAGAUACGGAGUGAGCGAAGAGCUCUGAUCUGUUUGGGGAAAAAGUAUCACAGCCUAUUAGUUAGAAGCGAUGAAAUUGAGACCGCUUCAGGGACUCCAUUACGCGGGUGGUGUUUAGGCAGACCGUGUCCCUGGGUGCAGGGCGCUGUUGCGGAGGAGAGGGUGCAAUGAAAUAAUUGGACUUGGGAAAUCAGCUGGGCUUCAGCGGCCUCCUAUCUCCUGGUGGGGAGUGGGGGAGGGAGAUACAUUUUCUUCCUCCCCCUCCCUAAUGCCUCCUUUCUUUUAGCAUAAAAGCUCUACCGAAUAAAAUAGCAGGGAAUUUCUUGCUGAGUACAUAGACUGCCAAUAUAUUUUGAAUAAUGAAAGCAAUGGAUAUAAUUAAAUUUCAUCUGACACGGGAAGAAUUCAGAGCAUGUCACCUCGGAACUGCCUCAUGCUAUGUUAUUCUCUAGGCAUCCAGAUAUUUGGUUGUGGCAGCCGAAUGAAAAUAGUUCAGAUUCGAUCAGUAAUGGCAGCAUCUAGAGGGACAUGGAUUAAUGCACUGAUGUAUCUGGAAUUAGGUUCUUAAAUAAAACAUCAUCGCUGGGUAUUUAUUUUCAUUUUAAAGGAAUACAUUGAAAUCGGAAAACAGAACUAGACUGACUUUUCCCGUCAAGACAUACUGAUUGGCAAACUUUUAUGGACAUCAGUUGAGGGCAGGCUCAGAAGUUCAGGUACAGAGAGUCACCUGCUGUUAUAGCUUGGGAGAUCAGAAAAGGUACAGUGAUAGCACGUCCAAGGCUCAGAUAAUCGUUAUUGUACUCUUAAGAAAAAGAUUAAGAAGUUACUGUUUUUUAUAAUCAGCAUAUAUGGUAAUAAUUACAGCUAAUAUCAAAAAUAAAUAGAAAUGUGUAACGUUAUUACUGCUAAUUAAAUACUAAUCAGAUACUUUCUAUGUAUGCAUACACUCUCUCAUAAACAUUUGUUAUAUAUGCAAAAAGCCCUGCUCUUAGAGCCACAAAUGGUUCCUGUUUCUACCUCUGGAAUUUAUUAUCACUUUGCUUUUGAGCAACAAAUAACUUAACAUCAGUCUUCUCAGAAAAAUGAGGAAACUAGGCGAAGUAAUGGCUGAAAUUCUACUUCAGACCCAUGUAUACACACACACACACACACACACACACACACACACACACACAUUCUUUCUACUUCUGAAAUAACUGCUAGGGGUCAAAUUUGAGGUGCAGCUGCGGCCUCCACCACAGCCACAGCAACACCAAAUCUGAGCUGCAUUUGAAGCCUGUGUUGCAGCUUGUGGCAAUGCCAGAUCCUUAACCCACCGAGCCAGGCCAGGGAUUGAACACAUAUCUUCACAGAGACAGCGUCAGGUCCUUUAACCCGCUGAGCCCCACAGUAGGAACUCCCUACACAACAUAUUAAAAUAAUACCAAUUAUUUUCCCUCCUUUAAGAUUUUGGUUUUUUUAACCAUGUACUAUACACUAAUUGAGCAAGGUGAUAGCACCCAGACCCUCAAGGAAGGAUAUUUUGCAAUUUGAGUAAAAAUGCUUUUUCUUCAUUCAUACUUUCAGAAUUAUAAAUGCGUAUUCUUGGAUAUCUUUGGGGGAAAAAAUCUUUGUUCAGUAUUUUCAGCCGGAGUUUUCACUGUUGUAUGUCCACUUAGUUAACAUCAGGUUCAUGUCCAUGGGUUCAUGGUGGAGGUACAGGUACAGAGACAUGAUCUGGUCCCUCCAGGAGUGCAUUUUCUUUAAAAAUGUCAUAAAAAAAGGGAGUAACAGAGUCAGCCUUUACCAGACUUAUCAUCCAUUUUUGCAUUAUUCAACUUUAGCUGAAAGAAAGAGAAGGAGAAAGAGAGGAUUCCUCAGAGUUACUUUGUGGUACUUUAUGUCUCGCUAAGAGGCCCUGUAUAUAACAGGAUAGGUUUGUCGUUAGUGGAGAAAAGCUGAGUUUAAAGGUUUUAGUUCCCUUAGGAUUCCCGUUGGUUACUUGCCUUCCCCCGACUAUGAUACAUACUCUUAAAAGAGGGGACUUUCUAUUUAUUAUUGUUUCCCCAGGGCUGAUCAUAAGCACGUGGUAACCAAUAAAUGCUGAGCCGAUACAUGAGAUAUUCUUGAUUGUAAGAGAUUAAAUACCAUCCUCCUGGUCUAGGGGAAUGAAACAUCCAUAUAUAUAGCAUAAUAAUUGUGUUUCCAUAUUCUGUCACCUUGGGUUUAGUAAUUAUUUUAGAUACUUUAUUUAUUUAUGUAUGUAUUUAUUUUUGUCUUUUUUUAGGGCUACACCCAUGGCAUAUGGGGGUUCCCAGGCUAGGCGUCUAACUGGAGCUGUUGC
rnacentral:lncRNA from 1 species